CCUGACGGCUCAGACGGUAAAGCAUCUGCCUACAAUUCAGAAGACUUGGGUUAGAUCCCUAGGUCAGGA
rnacentral:tRNA from 1 species